UUAGAAGACACUUUUUAUAUCAUAGAAUAAAAAAAAAAUCUUAGCUCUCUACAAAUAGCACGUGGUGGCACAGGUAACUAGCCUAAACGUUUGUGUCUGCUUGAUACUCCAUCAAAUAUAAAGCUCGACUCAAUAUUAUGUGUUUUUUUUUCAAGCAAAAGCAUUAAUUUAGAUCUAAAACGCCUUAAAAUAAGACUUAGCUUCGUUGACAACAAAUACAUUUAGUUUUACUAAACGUUUACGAAACAAAACCGAGUAAAGCAAAUGUAAAUCUUAGCCUAAAAUGAACCUGAAAUAAGUUUAGGCCUUGGCCAUGUGUGUAACGUUAAAACUAGGCCAGUAGAACACCGAUGUCUAUAUGAAGAGAGGAAGUACAAA